rnacentral:rRNA from 1 species
GAUGAACGCUGGCGGCGUGCCUAAUACAUGCAAGUCGAGCGAACGGACGAGAAGCUUGCUUCUCUGAUGUUAGCGGCGGACGGGUGAGUAACACGUGGAUAACCUACCUAUAAGACUGGGAUAACUUCGGGAAACCGGCUCUAAUACCGGAUAAUAUUUUGAACCGCAUGGUUCAAAAGUAAAAGACGGUCUUGCUGUCACUUAUAGAUGGAUCCGCGCUGCAUUAGCUAGUUGGUAAGGUAACGGCUUACCAAGGCAACGAUGCAUAGCCGACCUGAGAGGGGGGGCGGCAACACUGGAACGGAGACGCGGUACAGACUCCUACGGGAGGGAGCAGUGGAGAAGGUACCGCAAUAGGCGGAAGCCUAGCGGAGCGACGCCACGUGGGUGAAGAAGGGAUGCGGAUCGUGAAACUCUCUUAUUAGGGCAGAAAAUAAGUGUAAGUAACUGUGCACAUCUUGACGGUACCUAGUCAGAAAGCGACGGCUAACUACGUG